GUGAAUCCAACUCCAAACUCAGUUAGUUCAACACAAAAUCCUCAUUUUAAAGGAAAUCUGGGGGAAAUGUCUCCAUUCCUGGCCCCACAGAACCGAAGGAAUUAUUUCAUAAUUCUCAUUUUCCUGCUUUUUUCCCCUUUCCUCCUCCUGUUCCCAGAGGAACGCGACCGGAAGAUCAGUGAGUGCCAUUUCCCUGCUGCUUUUGGGGCAAAAUCCCUCGUUUUGGGCAGCUGGAUCCUCCUCCAUCCCAUCCUGGGGAAAAACAGCAAAUAACUCAAUUUUCCCCCAAAUUUCACCCAGAUUUGUGCAUUUCCUGUGGGGGGAAAAAACCCCAAAUAUUUAAAAUUUUCGUUUUUCCUCUGCAGCCAAACUUGCUGCUGAAAUCCGUGAGUCCUGCUCCUCCACCUCACUUGAUGAUUUUGGGCUCAAACUCCUCGGUUUUGGGUCAGUUCAGUGGCUUUUCCUGGAUUAAUCUGUUUUUCCUCGUCCCACAGGAAGAUUCACGGCGCUGCUGGCCGAGCGCGACUCCGGGCUCCGUAAGUGCAGGAAUCCCCAAUUCCCCCAAUUCCCUCCCCUCAGCCCCAAUCCCUCUUCUUUUCACCCCAAAAUCUGGGGGUCCCACCCCUGGAAC
rnacentral:lncRNA from 1 species